rnacentral:lncRNA from 1 species
GAGGUGUUUGGUUAAUGGGGGCGGAUCCCUCAUGAAUAACUUGGUGCCAUUCUCAUGGGAGUGAGUUCUCACCCUAUUAGCUCCCAUGACAGCUGUUUGUUAAAAAGAUCCUGGCACCUCCCCCACCCUCUUGCUUCUUCUUUCGCCAUGUGAUCUCUGCGGUCUCUGCACAUAAUGGUUCCCCUUCUCCUUCUGCUAUGAGUGGAAGCAGCCAGAAGCUUUCAUCAGAAGCAGACGCUGGUGCCAUACCUGCAGAACUGUCAGCCAAAUACUGUCAUGUCUGAAUGGUAGUCCUGAGAUUGCGGCAGCCCUCACAUGAUGAGCCAGAGGAGGAAGCCUCAUGUGAAAGAAAGCAGGACCCACAGCCAUAGUUGCACAGAUCUAUUCAAGCCACGCUGAUCACUGCGCUAACCUCUGGAUUUGUUUGGUUACAGCAGUGAGUUUUCAGUUACUUGCAGCCUAACACAUAUGUUGCUUGAGGUUUAGCUUUUCUGGAUCGCCCUUUUUCUUAGCCCUCCACUCCCAGCCCAAGGUGGCAAUAGAGAAGGUCAGCCUACCUCCCAUCACUCCCUUGCCUUCCGCUCCUCACUCUGAGUGGGCUCUUUCCCUCACUCAAUUCUUUUUUGGCCUCCUAUCCUGGUGACCUGUAAUGAAGAGGAGUCCUCAUAAUUAAUCAUUUGGACCAACCAUGACUUUAGCUCUGAGGUUUGUGUAGAGCCCAGCCCUUCCAUGGGGAACCUAGUGUGGAUGCCCUAGCCUUUCCCAGAAAAUCACCCUUUGAGCACUUCUCAGUUUGCUUGACAAGUUCAAAGUCAUGAGCAUUUUUGAGGUAGAGUGGAGAGGACUCCACCAGACUAUUUCCCCCUAGGAUGCUGAGAGAGUGAGAAAGAGGGUUGGUGCAUACUCAACUGAAAGGAGAUGUAAAGGACAACCGUGUGCUCUUCCAGAUCCAUUGACCCAUGCUCUGCUCUUUUUCACCCUGGCCUGUGCCCUGUGAGACUGAGCUCUGCAGACUACACCACCCAAGCUCUCUUGCCUUCUGGCUUCUAGAUUGGUAGGGCCAAUAGGAGGCAGCAGCAGGAGAUUAGAAGGAGAGACUGUCAGGUAGGGAUAUUAUUCCCUCAACACUGGGAGGAUUGGCAUCCCUUUAGGACCACAGCUCCUGCCGAGUGCCCUUCAUCCACAGCUGUGUCUCUCCCCAGAAUCUGGGAUCUUUGUCUCUCUUUACUCCUUUAGGCUAGGGGUAGUAAUGGCUCCCUGGUAUUUCUAGUCCCAGGGUGUUUCAUCAGCUCUUAGGCAUUCCCCACUGACCUCUGUGUAUGCCUCUGUCAAUAGAACAAUUAAACUCCUUCACUUGAAAC